UACGUAGGGUGCAAGCGUUGUCCGGAAUUAUUGGGCGUAAAGAGCUCGUAGGCGGUUUGUCGCGUCUGCCGUGAAAGUCCGGGGCUCAACUCCGGAUCUGCGGUGGGUACGGGCAGACUAGAGUGCGGUAGGGGAGACUGGAAUUCCUGGUGUAGCGGUGAAAUGCGCAGAUAUCAGGAGGAACACCGGUGGCGAAGGCGGGUCUCUGGGCCGUAACUGACGCUGAGGAGCGAAAGCGUGGGGAGCGAACAGG
rnacentral:rRNA from 1 species